rnacentral:rRNA from 1 species
GACGAACGCUGGCGGCGUGCUUAACACAUGCAAGUCGAACGGAAAGGCCCCCACCUUGGUGGGGGUGCUCGAGUGGCGAACGGGUGAGUAACACGUGGGUGAUCUGCCCUGUACUUCGGGAUAAGCUUGGGAAACUGGGUCUAAUACCGGAUAGGACCAUGGUUUAGUGUCUCAUGGUGGAAAAAUUAUUGUUUUGGUGCAGGAUGAGCUCGCGGCCUAUCAGCUUGUUGGUGGGGUAAUGGCCUACCAAGGCGUCGACGGGUAGCCGGCCUGAGAGGGUGGACGGCCGCAUUGGGACUGAGAUACGGCCCAGACUCCUACGGGAGGCAGCAGUGGGGAAUAUUGCACAAUGGGCGCAAGCCUGAUGCAGCGACGCCGCGUGGGGGAUGACGGCCUUCGGGUUGUAAACUCCUUUCGUUAGGGACGAAGCCACACCUUUUUUGGGUGUGGUGACGGUACCUUUGUUAAGAAGCACCGGCUAACUACGUG